AACUACCCAGGAAAAAAAAAAAUCUCAAGGGGACACUGCAAACACGCUACAUCAGAGCUACUCUCAAAGCUGACUUGAGUCAAAACACGAAGACAACCCUGGCUUCCAGGUGAAGGUAAAGCCCCAAGUCGUUACAGGAUGAAAUUCGUUGGUCUGGAAAGGUGCAUAGUACAGCAGAAAACAGUUUCCAGCUGGAGUCACGAAGCUAUUUUCAGAAGGUGUGAGACCCUAUUUGGAAAGUGGAGAUUCAGAAGAGACUACAACAAACGAUAAUACCUCCACUUUCUUGUAGUUGAGAAAAGAAUAUAGCUUCUAUACAUUGUGAUACGUACUAUAGAAGAAAAAAGAAAACAGAAAAAGGACAAAACAAAGGCUGGAGGUGAGGUGUCAUUAUUUUAAAUGAGCUGGUCAUGAAAACUGGUGUUGGGACAGAGACCUGAAGGAGGUGAAGGACGAACCACGUGGAUAUUUGGGAGAAAACGUUCUCAGGCAAAGGAAGGGAUUUUGGGUAUGGACGCACACAUGCCCAACGUGUUUCUGAAGCCGCCACGUCUGCAACUCAAAUCAUGCAGUCAGCGUUGUGGGAGCCAGCCAUCUUAACCGCCACACAGACAGGGUCUGCUGUAGUGGUCCUCCUGCCUUAGCCUCCCAGCUAGGACUGCGGGCACACACCCAGUCCUUUCUGUUCAGUGUCCGGCCAACCUCGAAGCUCUCCUGCUCCAGCCUCCCGAGCUGCCGUGACUGCAGGUGUACACCCCUGGGCCUGGCCUUUAAAUUGAAGCCACCUGGCUUUCCAUGUGGUCCCAGCUUGUGGAGCACAGUGUUUUACCAGCGUGGGCCACUGUAGGUAGGCCUCUUCCUACAUUUUUAAAACCUGGCAAAAUUUCACCAAAAUGUCAUGUUAUUAUAAUUUUCAUACUUAUUAUUUUAAUAGCUACAGGAGAGUCUAUUACAUUCUAGAGUAAUUUUCUUUUUUAAGAAAUUUAAUUUUACUUAUUAUUUAUUAAACUUAAUUU